AUUUCUUGGUGUGGAGUCGGGCAUUCUCAGCAAGUAACUUUGCCUUCUAAAUACGGCUAUGUGUAAAGAAGCCUUCCCUCUUUUGGUUUCUAUAUGGGAGAGAAACUAGAGCUAGUUUAAAAUGACUAGUGGGUAAGAAAAUUAAAAUACAAGGCUGCGUGCUGUGGUGUUUGCCGCGCUCCCCCACUAGGAGGCAGUGCCAUCGCUGACCCACACCUGCACGCUGGGCGGCCUCUAAGGCCCCGUGCUCCAGGUGAAUGAGACGAGGGAUGGGAAGGGUCGGGGAGGAGCAGGGGCGGCACAGAGAAGCGGUUUCAUUCUCCAUUAACGUUGAGGAGCUUCUCCUAGGCCUUAGUUCUUGCAUCUGUAAAAUCAGCCCUGGGCUCGUUAGAACCUCCCGUGGAACUUGUUAAAAGCAGGCGGUGAGGCGCUGCCCCCAGCCAGAGAUUGCGCGGCUUCAGGCGUGGUGGGGCGGGGUCGCGGCUCAGGUGUGUCCGCUCGAGGUGCCCGUGGGGCUAAGUGUGCUCGCGGGCAGUUGCAUCCCCGCUGGGCUGGACGCCGCCGGACUAGCGUCUCUCCGGUGUUGUUUGCGUCUGAUAAUGUCUGUUGGCAUAUGGCAUGAAAUAUGAUAGACUUCUGCCUUUUGUGUCACCUACUCUGCUGCUUCAAGAUUUCAAAGAGUCCCAGGAACGUUUUGAAGUUGGCGCUUUUCCUCAUUAGACGCUGGAGGAAACAAACAGCCGGAUUCAAUUGUGAGGAAUAAACACUGCCUACUCCACACUCCGUGAGCGACUCGCGCUCGGGCCCCCUCUCAGUCUCCGGGACAGAAGCGCCCGGCGAAGCCUCAGUCCUCCCCACGCCGCCUCCUGCAUUGUUCUCGGCCUGCAGUGUUGUUUUUGGCCCCUGAGUUAAUGCUAUUGCUUCCUGACGGCUGAGUGUGUUUCCUCCUUUUCUCGGUUUUAAAUAGGAUCUUUUCCACGGGACAAGAAUGGGGCCUUUCAGCUGGGGUCUGAGGGGUUGGUGAGGUGGGGGUGACAGGAAAUGGGAAGGGUGGCUUGUGAGAACACCAUGUUGCAGGGCCCUUCAUUCUACAAAGAG
ensembl:lncRNA